rfam:Lachnospiraceae bacterium COE1 genomic scaffold acPFN-supercont1.2, whole genome shotgun sequence.
GGUUAAGCAAAGAAGGGCACAGGGCGGAUGCCUUGGCACUGAGAGCCGAUGAAAGACGCGAUAAGCUGCGAAAAGCUGCGGAGAGGAGCACAUAUCCAGUGACCCGCAGGUGUCUGAAUGGGGAAACCCACAUGAGCAGCCCUCAUGUACCGUACAGUGAAUCCAUAGCUGUACGGGGGGAACCCGGUGAACUGAAACAUCUAAGUAGCCGGAGGAAAAGAAAGAAAAUUUUCGAUUUCCAAAGUAGCGGCGAGCGAAAUGGAAAGAGCCCAAACCGCCAUGCGUGCAUGGCGGGGUUCGGACUGCAUAAGUGAUUCCCGAUUGUUAGCCAAACGGUCCUGGAAAGACCGGCCAGAGAGGGUGAAAGCCCCGUAGGCGAAAACGAAAGGGACACGGCAGGAUCCAGAGUACCACGGGACACGGGAAACCCUGUGGGAACGAGCGGGGACCACCCCGUAAGGCUAAAUACUGCUCAGUGACCGAUAGCGCACAGUACUGUGAAGGAAAGGUGAAAAGAACCCCGGGAGGGGAGUGAAAGAGAACCUGAAACCCUGUGUCUACAAGCUGUGGAAGUGCCUUAUGAGCACAACCGCGUACUUUUUGUAGAACGGUCCGGCGAGUUGCGCAGACUGGCAAGGUUAAGCGUCCCAGACGCGGAGCCAAAGAGAAAUCAAGUCUUAACAGGGCCACAGUCAGCCGGCGCAGACCCGAAACCGGGUGAUCUAUCCAUGUCCAGGAUGAAGCUGCCGUAAAAGGCAGUGGAGGUCCGAACGCACAUCCGUUGAAAAGGGUGGCGAUGAGGUGUGGAUAGGGGAGAAAUUCCAAUCGAACCCGGAGAUAGCUGGUUCUCCCCGAAACAGCUUUAGGGCUGGCCUCACGGGAGUCAUAUGGAGGUAGAGCACUGAAUACCCGCGGGGGCGUCAAAGCUUACCAAAGGUUAUCAAACUCCGAAUGCCAUUAUGAUGCUCCGUGGGAGUCAGACUGCACGAGAUAAGUCGGGCAGUCAAAAGGGAAAGAGCCCAGACCCGCGGCUAAGGUCCCAAAGUGUGUGUUAAGUGGAAAAGGAUGUGGGAUUUCGAAGACAGCUAGGAUGUUGGCUCAGAAGCAGCCACACAUUCAAAGAGUGCGUAACAGCUCACUAGUCGAGAGGUCCCGCGCCGAAAAUGUCCGGGGCUGAAACACACCGCCGAAGCCCGGGAACCGCGCAUGCGGUUGGUAGGGGAGCAUUGUUAAUCCGCCGAAGCUGUACCGGCAAGGAGCAGUGGAGGAUUAAGAAGAGAGAAUGCUGGAAUGAGUAGCGAGAAAGAGGUGGGAAUCCUCUUGGCCGAAUAUCCAAGGUUUCCGGGGUAAAGCUGAUCUGCCCCGGGUAAGUCGGGACCUAAGGCGAGGCUUAACAGCGUAGCCGAUGGACAGCAGGUGGAAAUUCCUGCACUGCGGCAUAACAGAACUGCGGGGACGCAUAUGGAGGGCAUGUGCCGGGAAAGGAAAAACCGGUGCAAGCGCAGCAGGAGCAUGGGAGGAAAAGCCCCCAUGGGGAUCCAGGGCGUGACGCGGAGCGAAUUAAAGUAGCGAAGCAUGCAGCACAUGUGCCGAGAAAAGCCGCUAUUGUUUAUGCCGCACCCGUACCGUAAACCGACACAGGUGGAUGGGGAGAGAAUCCCAAGGCCGACGGGAGAAGCACUGUCAAGGAACUCGGCAAAAUGGCCCCGUAACUUAGGGAGAAGGGGCGCCAUCGAAAGAUGGCCGCAGAGAACAGGCCCAAGCAACUGUUUAGCAAAAACACAGGUCUAUGCGAAACCGAAAGGUGAGGUAUAUGGGCUGACGCCUGCCCGGUGCCGGAAGGUUAAGAGGAGAGGUCAGCAGAAAUGCGAAGCCUUGAAUUGAAGCCCCGGUAAACGGCGGCCGUAACUAUAACGGUCCUAAGGUAGCGAAAUUCCUUGUCGGGUAAGUUCCGACCCGCACGAAAGGCGUAAUGAUUUGGGCGCUGUCUCGACAGUGCACCCGGUGAAAUUGAAGUGCCAGUGAAGAUGCUGGCUACCCGCGCCAGGACGGAAAGACCCCAUGGAGCUUUACUCCAGCUUGGCACUGGGAU